GCCAAGUUGAAAAUGUGGAAAAUAAGAGUUUAAAUAUUUGUUAAGUUUUAUCUGGAUCUAAGAUACUUCACUAUGAACCAGUCCUGCAGCUGUGCCAGCCUGCUGCAUCCCCUGCUGAUUUGCAUGUUCCCAGAGCACAACUUCCUGCCCUGAAGACUUACUAAUAGGUUAGUCACAUCCUGUGCAGGAGUCAGUCCCAGACAGGACACAGCAUGGACGUGAGGACCCCUUCUCAGCUCCUGGGGCUCCUGCUGCUCUGGCUCCCAAGUGAGGAAGGAGAACACUAGGAAUUUACUAAACCAGUGUGCUCAGUAUUGCCUGGUCAUUCAGGGAAAUCAUCUUAUACAUAAUUGUGUGAAUAUUUGUUUCUAUGUUUGUAGUCCCAGGAGUUAGAUGUGACAUCCAGAUGACCCAGUCUCCAUCCUCCCUGACUGCAUCUGUAGGAGACAGAGUCACUGUCUCUUGUGGGGAAGUCCAGAUGUCAAGAUGCUGACUUGACACAGCACCUCACCACAUGAUUCUUCAGUCUUCAUCUAAGUGAACAUGUUUGCCUACAAUUGUCAAAGAAUAUUGAAUAACCUUCUUCCUACCUUCAAAUAUGAUGAGAAGGCUUCUCUUUGAGUAACUCUACAAGAAACUAUAGAGGGUUAAAUGGGUUUUGGGAAAGGUGCUUUUAGAAAUCAUGAUAAAUAUAAGGAAUUGGGAGGUGACAGCCAAGUAGGAGAAGUAUUUCCCCAAAUCUCAAUUUUCCAGAUAUGAGGUGGCUUCAGAAUGUGUUUGGAUGUGUUUACACAUAUUAAAUGAAAGUCUGGUAUUAUUACUAAAAACUUUAUUAAGUCUUAUAGUAAAAGGAAAAAAUGACAAAAUUGCUUAGAAUAUAUAGCAAUCCUUUGACAAAUGAAAAAAACUUUUUUGACAAAACAAAUAAAAACACCUGUAGGUGCAUGUAGUAUACUUUUUCCUUAAUACAAAAGCACAUUGCUACUUAAAAUUUGUCCAGAUUCCAGUGGCAUUCUCAGCGUCACCAUGAACACAUUACAAAGUAGCAGAUGUACCUUAGAUAUUAUUGCAUGAUAACUGCACUUCCACAGGUGAGAGGUAAUGUAUGAGUGCUUUAAGAAGUCAAGUUUUCAAAGACAUUUACUUUAGCUAAAGAGUUCUUUUUCCUACAGUGAGACAUUUAUGUUAAAACAAGUUAAAAAUAUAUACCGCCUUAUAUCUAACUAAUGCAAAAUUACAUUGGAAAAUAUUUGUAAUAUUCUAAAAGUUGAAAAACAUAAUUUUUUAUCAAUGGAUCAAAUACUUUGAUAGUUAAAUGCAGUAAAUAUUUUAGAAACUUUAGGAAUUAACACAGUGAAAUGAUAAAUUAAAACUGUGUUCACUGUAUUACAAAAGAUUGGGCUUAUAUUUGCCUGGUAAGUUUUGUUUGAAAAUUGUAUUUCUUUUUGCUGCCUGACACACAAAUGUUGUGCCUUGGCU
rnacentral:lncRNA from 1 species